rnacentral:rRNA from 1 species
UUGAACGCUGGCGGCAGGCCUAACACAUGCAAGUCGAGCGGUAGCACAGAGAGCUUGCUCUCGGGUGACGAGCGGCGGACGGGUGAGUAAUGUCUGGGAAACUGCCUGAUGGAGGGGGAUAACUACUGGAAACGGUAGCUAAUACCGCAUAACGUCGCAAGACCAAAGUGGGGGACCUUCGGGCCUCAUGCCAUCAGAUGUGCCCAGAUGGGAUUAGCUAGUAGGUGGGGUAACGGCUCACCUAGGCGACGAUCCCUAGCUGGUCUGAGAGGAUGACCAGCCACACUGGAACUGAGACACGGUCCAGACUCCUACGGGAGGCAGCAGUGGGGAAUAUUGCACAAUGGGCGCAAGCCUGAUGCAGCCAUGCCGCGUGUGUGAAGAAGGCCUUCGGGUUGUAAAGCACUUUCAGCGGGGAGGAAGGCGAUAAGGUUAAUAACCUUGUCGAUUGACGUUACCCGCAGAAGAAGCACCGGCUAACUCCGUGCCAGCAGCCGCGGUAAUACGGAGGGUGCAAGCGUUAAUCGGAAUUACUGGGCGUAAAGCGCACGCAGGCGGUCUGUCAAGUCGGAUGUGAAAUCCCCGGGCUCAACCUGGGAACUGCAUUCGAAACUGGCAGGCUAGAGUCUUGUAGAGGGGGGUAGAAUUCCAGGUGUAGCGGUGAAAUGCGUAGAGAUCUGGAGGAAUACCGGUGGCGAAGGCGGCCCCCUGGACAAAGACUGACGCUCAGGUGCGAAAGCGUGGGGAGCAAACAGGAUUAGAUACCCUGGUAGUCCACGCCGUAAACGAUGUCGAUUUGGAGGUUGUGCCCUUGAGGCGUGGCUUCCGGAGCUAACGCGUUAAAUCGACCGCCUGGGGAGUACGGCCGCAAGGUUAAAACUCAAAUGAAUUGACGGGGGCCCGCACAAGCGGUGGAGCAUGUGGUUUAAUUCGAUGCAACGCGAAGAACCUUACCUGGUCUUGACAUCCACAGAACUUUCCAGAGAUGGAUUGGUGCCUUCGGGAACUGUGAGACAGGUGCUGCAUGGCUGUCGUCAGCUCGUGUUGUGAAAUGUUGGGUUAAGUCCCGCAACGAGCGCAACCCUUAUCCUUUGUUGCCAGCGGUUAGGCCGGGAACUCAAAGGAGACUGCCAGUGAUAAACUGGAGGAAGGUGGGGAUGACGUCAAGUCAUCAUGGCCCUUACGACCAGGGCUACACACGUGCUACAAUGGCAUAUACAAAGAGAAGCGACCUCGCGAGAGCAGGCGGACCUCAUAAAGUAUGUCGUAGUCCGGAUUGGAGUCUGCAACUCGACUCCAUGAAGUCGGAAUCGCUAGUAAUCGUAGAUCAGAAUGCUACGGUGAAUACGUUCCCGGGCCUUGUACACACCGCCCGUCACACCAUGGGAGUGGGUUGCAAAAGAAGUAGGUAGCUUAACCUUCGGGAGGGCGCUUACCACUUUGUGAUUCAUGACUGGGGUG